GGAGAAAUGGCCGAGUGGUUCAAGCUGUAGCAUUGGAACUGUUACGUAGGCUUUUGUUUACCAAGGGUUCGAAUCCCUCUCUUUUCG
rnacentral:tRNA from 1 species